CGCAUCCUCACGGAUACUAGUCGGGUUUGUAACCUGCUGAGCCACAAGGAGAAUUCUGCUCUACAUUUUUAAAUGGUUCAAAACAAACAAACAAACGAACAAACAAAACAAAGGAGGAAUAAUGUUUUGUGACAUGUGAAAAGUACUUGAAAUUCAAAUAAAUUCUAAGAGUGGAGCAGCGCGGCGCCCCUUGUUCCCAGAUUGGCUGUGGCUGCUCUCAAGCUGCGAGGGGAGGCUCGAGAAAUUGUCAUGGGAAUCCCGCAGCCCUCAGGGCCAGGCAAGCUCAUCACCUGCCCUUUACAGUGAGAGGGGACCAAGCCUGGGCCACCAGAAAUGAGCACCAAGUGGGUCCUUGAGGAAGAGUGGGGCUCCUCCCCAGAAACAGAGCAGGGGAGCCACGUGAGCAAAGACACAGGGUGUGGGGCCCCCUCAGAGGGCGAGGCGGGGUCUGUCUCACAGAGCAUCGGGUCACAGCCCCCUCCUCCUUCCCCAGGGAACCUCCAGCCCCUGGUUUCCCAACUCCUGCUCUGGAUGCUGGCUCCUCGCCCUCCUCUCGUGACCUUGCCUCGGUCACGUCCCCCCAUCCUGGGACAUUCGAGUUCUCUGACUUAGGGGAAGGGGACAGACCUCCUGUGACCUGCUCAUUUCGAUGCAAAGGGGAGCGAGAGCAUGUUUCUUGGAAUCCCAGAAUACCCCAGUUAUAAAGAGAAUAGGCAGAGUUCUCUUGCGGCUCCACGGGUUAAGGACCCAGGAUUGUCACUGCAGUGGCUUGAGUGGUUGCUUUGCACAGGUUCGAACCUUGGCUCAGGCACUUCCGUGUGCCACAGGUAAGGCCCCCAAAGGAAGGAAAAUAGGCACCGCCUAGUCCAACCCUCCACCCCCACCCCUGCAUCACACCGACAGGAAAUCCGUGGCUCCCAAUCUCUGGGCACUUGCCUGAGGAGGGGAGGGUUUAAUGAAAAUUCUGAAGGUCUCAGCCGGAGUGAAGGGUCCAGCUUGUUCUGUUUCUCAUAAAGCUGGGAGCAUGCAAUAGAGCAUUUGAAUUGUGAGUGUGGGACUGCACGUGUGUGUCCGUGUGUACGUGUGCGUAAAGCAAAUCACACGAUGGGCUAGUCAUCCUCAGUUUUACAGACGGGGAAACCAAGGCCCAGGGAGCAGAAGCAACAGGCUGGUGGCCAAGCUGCUCCUUGGUGGCAGAGGCAGCAGCUGUGCCAGAGCCCACAGCCCACACUCAUCCGGAGCCAGACGGCGACGCUCUCCUGGCCUCCAUUGGAACUCCGCGCUCCCCGGCCCCACGUCCUGUUUACCGGGUGCUUCCUAAUAAGGUGGCCGAUGCCGUCAUCCAAGCCGACCUCCUUCCAGGAAGGCAUCACUGCAGAUGGACUGGUUCUGGCGGUGGUGUUUUUAAGGAAAGAAGGAGAAGGAAAAAGGAAAACAUUUUCUUGGGCAAGCAGCUUUGGACCAGAUGCUCAGGCCGUGCUGAGUUCAGGAUCCAUCCCGGCAAUUGUGGGAGGUGUCUGGAGCUUAAAACGUACCAUCUGGGGUCUGGAGGUACCGCCCUCAACAGCAAAAUGAAAUACCCAGAAAGUGGGGCGAAAUCUGGGAAAAUGGCAAGACCUGGAGUUAUUUCACCCACGCUGGCUCCCUGAGGAAAUCUGGCAGAGGCAGACGACCCGACAUCCGGAGAGGAAUAUCGGAGAGGCGGGGCACGUCUCAGAUCGUCUGGACCCCUCGGCUGCCCAGAGCCCGCGCUCAGCAGUAUCUGCGGCAUGAAUGAGGCAGACACUGGAGCCUGGAAUGCAGAUUGCUGCUCCGGGGAGCGGAAUCAGAAAUUGAGAAGUGACUUUGAAACGGGAGGGUCGGCUGUGCCUUCCCUCAGGCAUGGGGUCCCACAUGCCACAAUGUCAUAAUGAAAGCCACACAAAGGGACCCAGACACUGAAGGAUGCCUCUGCGGCUUGGGGGAGGAGUCCUACGGGAGUGGGAGGGGCUUGGCAGGAAGGCUCUACCCCCUCCACCAUUCGCCCCUCCCAAUCCCCGCCCCCCUCGCUCCUUUUCUCGCCGCGGAGCCCCAACCCCCAUCAUGACUCUCUGGACAGCGGAGACCCCUCUGGAUUUGGCUGUGACCCUCUCAGCUCCACAGCCUGGGGAUGUGCGUCCCGCUUGGGACACGCCGGGUCUGGAGUCCUGUCUGGGACCGGGCUGGUUUGCCAAGGGGCUGGCAGAACCCCAAGGGCACCCGCCUCGUUACCCACAGGGUAAAGCCCAUCCUGUGUGACCCCGCCUCCAGCCUCCGUUUCCUGCCCCAGGUCUGCAGGCUCCUCAUUCGCACCCUUCAGGGAUCAGCCCACAUCCCACCUUCAAACCCUAGGUCCCUCUCCCUCGGGGCCCCAGUCCCCUGGUUCACGCUCUCCAAGGCACUCCUCAUCCAGCCUGGCUGAGGACGGUCCCCUCAGCAUCACCGCGGAUGGAGACUGCGCUCUGGUCACCCGCGUAAAGGGGCAGCGUUCUCACACGUGAGCCUGUAUCCGAAUCCGCCCCCCCACCAGGGUGUGUUAAAACACAAGUCCCUGGCCACACUCAGAGCUUCUGAUUCAGCACUGUGUGAUGGAGCACGAGAAUCUGCAUUCGGAGCCGUUUCCCAGGUGCUGCUGCUGCCGCUGCUCAUUGGGUAUCACACCUUGAGAACCGCUGGCCGAGGGGCGUGGGAUCCUGGACCGGCGUCAGGGGCGCAUCUCCCCACCAAUCCGGCUGUGAGAUCUGUCAGUUCACCGGAUCUGACAGUCGGCAAAUACUAACUGACAGAACCGCCUUGGGAGUCUAGAGAGCAACAUCCCCUUGAGAGGACGGGGCCUUCAAGGAAGAUGGAGACUGAGAUCAACCAAGAAAUAUAUACUGGUUCUGCGCCCGUGGUUUCUGACACAGCGCUCCUAAAACCCUUGCCAUUUCCACAGUGAGGGGAGCCUGUGAGGCAACUCUUGGUGGCUCCUGGAGUUGAUUCGAGGCUUGGAUCUUUCAGCCGCAUCCUUCAGCGUAGCGAAGGAUGGAUGAGUGGGCAUGCUCCCAGACCUCGUCAUGGCCCCAGGCUAGAGAGCUGGAAUUUUUCGGCUGGGAAGAUCUUACAAACACCAAGUAGGUCGACCCUCCCUCUUUUUCCAAAUUGGGAGACAAAGGACCUGAGGGAGGUAAGAAAGUUUAUUCAACAGACCCUGAUUAAGCGUUUGCUCAGUGGCUGGCUCUUUAUGAGGAAACUGUGACAGAGAAAAAUAAGGCACCCUCUCCAGCCCCCCUGAAAGAGGAACGAGGGACCCACCUAAGAGAGGGUGUAGGAUUCUGAGGAGGGUGACAGGGCAAGGCCAGGGAAGUCUCCAAAGAGGGGAAGGUGCUGGAUCUGAGUUUUGAGGGGUAUGCGGGGUGCCAUGUUGCUUUGUGAGUGUGGGAUUUGUGUGCAGGGGAUGUUGCACCCCAGCCCCGGGUACAGGGCUUGGAGCUCAGGACAUAUUUGUUGAAUGAAUGAGCAUUAGGCAGUUUCAUUUUUUCUGGAGACCAGGAAAGCAACUCGCAGGGGCUCUGGCCUCAGCUGAACAAAGGGGCUGAUGAAUGGACACUGGAGGAAGCCAAGGCCCAUGUGGGUGAGCUUUGGCGGUUGGGGCUCUGAUUGGGAAGGGCCUGGAAUAUCAGGGUUAGCUGGUCAUUGGAAGAGGAUGGCCCACUGCUGUCACUGAGGGUGGAGGAAGGACCAUUCUUGAGAACCUACACCAGACCUACUUGCCAAGUCUCUCUUUCAGGCUGGAAAAUUCAGGGUUAUCCCUAGUUUAGAGAGUCCUGUCUAGUAGGGGACCCCAACUUACUACGUUGAGUUAUCUGACGCUUGUGACAUGUAACAUGGUGGGGGCCUUUGGGUGGCUCUACUACUAAAUUUCUACUAUUCUAGAAAUUUCCUUCAUGUGUAGGGAGGUGAGCCCUCAGGGGGUGCAGGAUUAGUACCGGUAGGGGGGCUCAAGGCUGUUUUCCCAUCUUCCCAACACCAGCACCCCAAGUUGUAUGGGGAGACACUCGCCUUAUAACAUGAAUCCAGCUCAGCCCCCUUUCCUCUUGUGGGAUGGAAGAAUGUUCCAUACCUUGGUUCUGGAGCUCCCUUGGACAGGCAUGUGGAAUUGCUUCUCAGGAUCCAGCCUUGAUGAACUUCUCUCCACUGGGUCACCCAUGGAUCAUAGUCUUUCAUGAGAUUUGAGCCCACCUUGGGUAACCCUGACCUGGUCUGGGGAUUUUGAGAUGAAGGAGGCCACAUCACCUGUGUAGAGGGCCAGUCCAUCCCAAUGAUUGAUGUCAAGAUGGGGAAAAAAAAAAAAAAGAUGCUCAGCCAGAAUGUGGGGCCCUGGGCAGGAGGGACCCUGGAAGCCGUCCGAGUACCCUAGGACUUCCAAGACAACCUUGUGGAUUAUGAAGGCAGUGAGACAGAUCAUUUGAAAUCACAACCAUCCUAGAAAUUCCCAGCUCUCUGAGCCAUGUACCCACAGAGCUUCUUGCUACUAAACAAAGCUGUGGUAGGGGGUUGAGUACCUGGUUCUUUGACCCCGUCAUCUCUGGGUUAUUAGAGGAAUCACCGUCUGGUGGAAAGAGCAAGGUCUUCGGAGUCAGCUGACCUUGGUUCCCACUCUGUUGGGCUGGAAGGAUGGCUUCAUCUCCCCGAGCUUCAUCUCCCCCUCCCAGGGUUGGUGUGAAUUAGAGGCAACAGGAUGUCAUCUUGGAGCCAGAGGAGGUGGCCACUCCAUAGAUAGUCUGCUCCUGCCUUCUGGCCCCUUCCCUGCCUUCUCCCCUCCUGGACCAUAUUGCAGACUCAACAGAUGUCUGUGGGCUCCGAUCACCCUUGACUAACGAGUCACGGAUGGGCCCAAGGACAUUGGUUCCAGCUGCCAGCACCAGCCUCCAGUAGGGAGCUAAGGGUGCCACGUGGAGCCAAAGACCAGCACCCAGCAGUGAGAAGGGGCGGGGUUCCAGGAUGGACAGGCAGUGAGCCAGCAGGUGGCACAGGAGCCUGGGCUACAGGCUUCCAUCCUAACCAGGUUGGGAGGUGACCAGGGACUGAGGUUGCUCAGGUCCCAAGUGUCACUGAGGGAAGCAGCCAGAGAACGGUCUUCCCUCUCAGAACAUCCUCCAGAAGUUCCCAGGCUAGGAGUGGAAUCAGAGCUGCAGCUGCAGGUGUACACCACAGCUGCAGCAACACCAGAUCUGAGCCACAUCUGAGACCUACACCACAGCUCAUGA